CCUCGGGCUGAUAACUACCCAAUGGUUCGACCUGCACUACAACCUUUGGGCUUUAAGUGUCCGAAAGAUAAAACUGCGAAGAUCUUACACGUUUUCUGAUCUUCCUCUGAUUUCCAACGUUUAAUCUUACGCAACAUAC
rnacentral:snoRNA from 1 species